rnacentral:tRNA from 1 species
GGGCGGUUAGCUCAGCCGGUAGAGCACCUGCUUUACACGCAGGGGGUCGGGAGUUCGAGCCUCUCACCGCCCA